rnacentral:rRNA from 1 species
UGGGGAAUUUUGGACAAUGGGGGAAACCCUGAUCCAGCCAUCCCGCGUGUGCGAUGAAGGCCUUCGGGUUGUAAAGCACUUUUGUCAGGAAAGAAACGUCAUGGGUUAAUACCCCGUGAAACUGACGGUACCUGCAGAAUAAGCACCGGCUAACUACGUGCCAGCAGCCGCGGUAAUACGUAGGGUGCAAGCGUUAAUCGGAAUUACUGGGCGUAAAGCGUGCGCAGGCGGUUCGGAAAGAAAGAUGUGAAAUCCCAGAGCUCAACUUUGGAACUGCAUUUUUAACUACCGGGCUAGAGUGUGUCAGAGGGAGGUGGAAUUCCGCGUGUAGCAGUGAAAUGCGUAGAUAUGCGGAGGAACACCGAUAGCGAAGGCAGCCUCCUGGGAUAACACUGACGCUCAUGCACGAAAGCGUGGGGAGCAAACAGG